rnacentral:rRNA from 1 species
UCUGUGCUUGCACAGAAUGAUUAGUGGCGAACGGGUGAGUAACACGUGAGUAACCUGCCCUUGACUUCGGGAUAAGCCUGGGAAACCGGGUCUAAUACCGGAUACUACCUCCUGGCGCAUGCCAUGGGGGUGGAAAGCUUUAUUGCGGUUUUGGAUGGACUCGCGGCCUAUCAGCUUGUUGGUUGGGGUAAUGGCCCACCAAGGCGACGACGGGUAGCCGGCCUGAGAGGGUGACCGGCCACACUGGGACUGAGACACGGCCCACACUCCUACGGGAGGCAGCAGUGGGGAAUAUUGCACAAUGGGCGAAAGCCUGAUGCACCGACGCCGCGUGAGGGAUGACGGCCUUCGGGUUGUAAACCUCUUUCAGCAGGAAAGAAGCGAAAGUGACGGUACCUGCAAAAGAACCGCCGGCUAACUACGUGCCAGCAGCCGCGGUAAUACGUAGGGCGCAAGCGUUAUCCGGAAUUAUUGGGCGUAAAGAGCUCGUAGGCGGUUUGUCGCGUCUGCUGUGAAAGCCCGGGGCUCAACCCCGGGUCUGCAGUGGGUACGGGCAGACUAGAGUGAUGUAAGGGAGACUGGAAUUCCUGGUGUAGCGGUGAAAUGCACAUAUAUCAGGAGGAACACCGAUGGCGAAGGCAGGUCUCUGGGCAUUAACUGAC